AGCAGUGGGGAAUAUUGGACAAUGGGCGAAAGCCUGAUCCAGCAAUGCCGCGUGUAUGAAGAAGGCCUUCGGGUUGUAAAGUACUUUCAGCGAGGAGGAAGGGGGAGUGGUUAAUAACCAUUUUCAUUGACGUUACUCGCAGAAGAAGCACCGGCUAACUCCGUGCCAGCAGCCGCGGUAAU
rnacentral:rRNA from 1 species